UACGUAGGGUGCAAGCGUUGUCCGGAAUUAUUGGGCGUAAAGAGCUCGUAGGCGGUCUGUCGCGUCGGCUGUGAAAACCCGAGGCUCAACCUCGGGCCUGCAGUCGAUACGGGCAAACUAGAGUACUGCAGGGGGAGAAUGGAAUUCCUGGUGUAGCGGUGAAAUGCGCAGAUAUCAGGAGGAACACCGGUGGCGAAGGCGGUCUCUGGGCAUUACCUGACGCUGAGGAGCGAAAGUGUGGGGGAGCGAACAGG
rnacentral:rRNA from 1 species